rnacentral:rRNA from 1 species
GACGAACGCUGGCGGCGUGCUUAACACAUGCAAGUCGAACGGAAAGGCCCUGCUUUUGUGGUGUUCUCGAGUGGCGAACGGGUGAGUAACACGUGAGUAACCUGCCCUUGACUUUGGGAUAACUUCAGGAAACUGGGGCUAAUACCGGAUAGGAGCUCCUGCUGCAUGGUGGGGGUUGGAAAGUUUCGGCGGUUGGGGAUGGACUCGCGGCUUAUCAGCUUGUUGGUGGGGUAGUGGCUUACCAAGGCUUUGACGGGUAGCCGGCCUGAGAGGGUGACCGGCCACAUUGGGACUGAGAUACGGCCCAGACUCCUACGGGAGGCAGCAGUGGGGAAUAUUGCACAAUGGGCGGAAGCCUGAUGCAGCAACGCCGCGUGCGGGAUGACGGCCUUCGGGUUGUAAACCGCUUUCGCCUGUGACGAAGCGUGAGUGACGGUAAUGGGUAAAGAAGCACCGGCUAACUACGUG